CUAAAUCCCCGGCACAUGAUAUAUAUUGUGAUUUAAAAUACAUUUGAACUUACUAUGUCAUUUCCUUAUAUGUUUUUCAUUAACCUUGUUUUCUUUCCUCCUUUUUCUCUUCUCUGUCUUCUCCUGUUGGCUAUAUAUGUUCUACACAGGUUUUGAAAUAUAUGCAACCUUUGCUGGCUUGGAAGUUUUGGACUGUAUCUCAAUUUUGGUGGCACAUUUAAUUUUCAAUCACUUUAAAAGAUGUAUGUAUUUAUUUUUUUCUGUCAGGGAUCAAGCCUAGGCCCUCAUGAUACUAUGCAAAUUUUCUACCAUCCCCAGCACUAAGAUUCCUUCUUUGUCCUUGAUCCUAUGCGAAUCAAUGAUAGAGCCUUAUAUAUUAAUAAUGAUAUAUAAUACUUGAUAUCAAUAAGUAUAUUAAUCCAUGCUGUCUGAUCAUGGAGUAUAUUUUUGAUCGGAGGACCUAUAACUCUCAAGUUCUUGAAAAAUCCCUUGAUUUCCCUAGUACCUAUGGUUUCUGGGGCGUUUCCUCCUUUCUCUUUCCGGAAGUUUUAUUAGGUACAAGUUGGGAGAGGGGCCAGUAUGGUGGCAGUGGGGACGGAGCACAAGGUUGGCGGGCGACACAUUCAGAGCACAGCCUGCGAUGCUGGAUGCGGUGACCCUUAAUCACGAUAGGGCAGCUGGAAUGGAUUAGGAAAGCCCGGCAGGUUAGUAGAGCCCAGUUCUGGGCGUGUCUGAGAAUGACUGAGGUGGGGGCCAGCCGGGUGGCACCAACCAAUAGGCUUGAAGCCUGGACGGAAUAGAAAGGGAAAGCAGAAGGAAGUCUUUCUGCUUUUAUAGAGCUCUAGUUCUUGAGUGGGUCCAUCCUUUGCUUUCAUCGCCUCUGGACAUCCGUCUUCCGGAACCCAGUUUCUUCAGCCUUGUGACACAGAUGCCGGUGGCCCUUCAGGGAGCUUCAGGGUCUUGGACCUUGGACUGGUGCUGUGUCCUUGGUCCCUCUUGCUCUGGAGCUCCCCGCUUCUUGGGUGGAGAUCCUCCGGCUCUCCAGUAGGGGGCGGCCACUGUGCAAUUCCCGCUUCUAGUCAGGUAAGUGACCUAAUAAAUCCGCCUGUAUAGUUACACAUGUUUUCUAUUGAUUCUGUCCCUCUAGAGCAGCUGACUAAUACAGGACGACAUAGAGCAGGAUGCUGGUGGCGAGAGUCCUGGGCUCAGCUGCUACUAAGAGGAAAGGAGGUGUGGGUGCAGGUCUUUGUCACACCUGUCCUUCUCUAGAGUGCUGGGAUGGCCGCAUUGAUGUGAAUGUGAGCAGCUGCAUGGGGCUAGGAUGAUGCAGGCUUAGAGAGUGACGCUGGCCUCAUGCAUACAAUAAACCAGUGUCGACUGAGCUCCAGCCGUGUGCUGCCUGCGUAGAGGCUGGGACUGUGGCCAUGGACCACGCUGGCAAGAGCUUGCUCCCAUGGAGAUGGAAAAAGUUGAAUUCAUGAAUAAGGUAACUGCAGAGAGCGGUAAGAGAUGUGGAGGACAAAAGACCCAGAGACAAGCUGUCUUCAGUGAUGGGGUGAAUAGUGCAGCCUGAGAGGGAAGGGGAGGCUUCCAUGGGAGGUGACACAGUGGAGGGACAAGGAGGAGACAGACAGACCUGGCCAAAAGUGUCCCAAGGAGUGGGACCAACACCGGGACAGGCCAGUGCGGCAUUGCACCUGCUGGUAUAUUUCAGAUCCCUACUUCCAUUACUGCAAAGACAAGAAAUGGCUCCCUUUAUCUCCAAAACUUUCCAGUAUUUCUAAAGUUCCUGACCCAUGCAGAGAAAUUCCUUUCUGUCCACUUCAGUAGAUUUUGUUAUAUUGUUUUCCCUCCGGGUGGAACACAUCUGUUCAUUAAGUUUUGUAUAUUGGAGGCUUUGCCCUCAGAUUAGUUUAUUAUGUGCCACGGGAGAGUGAGGCCCAGAAGCUUCAGAGAAAGACAUAUAUUGUUGUCUCCUUUGCCCCUUUCUCUCCCGCUUCCCUCCUCCCCACUCUCCCUCAGACUCAGCCUCCCAGAGUGCUGGGAUUGCAGGCAUGCACCAUCACGCCCAGCUGUAUUUCUGGUUUUUGAGGUUAGAAGCCCGAGAUUGAGGUGUUGGCAGGUCGAUUUCUCCAGACUCCUCUAUCCUGGGGUUGUUGAUGGUUGGCUCUCCCCUGUGCCGGCACACGCUCCUCCUGGUCCAUCUGCCUGGGUCCACAUCUCCCUCUUGUAGUUUUGCACCAGUCGUACUGGAUUCGAGUGUGCCCUAAUGACCUUAUUUUCACUUAAUUACCUCUGCAACAGCCUUAUCACCAAAUAUGGUCGCAUUUCAGGAUACCAGAGUUUAGGACUUCAAGAUACCAAUUUUGGGGCGAUGUAAUUCAGCUCACAACAGCCUCAAACAAAUGGGUUUUUAAUGUACAUCUCUAAAAGUGAGUUCAGUGGCGUGGAACUUCAGCUGCUCGAUCUUACAGCUUUCAACACUUCUGCGAGGUAACGUCUUCCUUAAAGCACUUUACAGCUGCAGAUGGUAUUCUCAGGGAUCAAACUCAGGUCUUUGCACUUGCAAGGCAGGCGGAGGAACGACUGAGCGAGCUAAAUCCCCGGCCCAAUGCAGAUGGUAUUCUGCAGGCAGGAGAGGUUGUCAUUUCAGCGAGUCACAGGGAUAAAUUCCUUUUGGCUUUCCCUGCUGCUUGCUAGCUAGCACUUAAGUCAGGUAAAAAGUACUCUUCACCCAAAUUCUUCCUGCAGACACUGGCUCCUUGCUUUUGAGAGCCUCUUUAUCUCCUUGGACAGUUUGCAGAGAAAGACCUGGCAGGAAACAGGCUGAUGAUGCCCAGCCAUCGCAGCACCUACGAGCUAUUGAAUUUGGCAAAGGCGGAUUUUAGCAUUUCCGAGUCAGGAUGACUUGUUUAUUUAUUUAUAUCAUGGUUUAAAAAACCCCAUGUAACACCUUUUCCCUUUUUCCCUUUUCACGGUGCUGGCGAUGGAACUCCUUGAUAAAGCAAGCACUAACCACUGAGCUACGACUCCCGCUCAUAAGUCAAAAUGGCCGUGGAAGGUAAAUGCUUUGAAUCGAUUCAGCACAUCGAGGCACCCAGGACAGCACAACUGAAGACACCCUCGAAAGAGGACUUCCGGAGCUGCUUCAGAAAGCUGCAAGAAUGAUGGGAGAAAUGCUCUUGAAGUGAGGGGGAGGUGUCUAGGGGAUUGAUGUCGGUGAGACUUUAAUUAUAAUAAAUUAAAAAU